GAGAAGCGAUUCUUUGCACCGCAGCACACGCAACCUCCUCCUCUGCUCCUUUCCCUCCCUCUGCGCCGCUGGAUCUGCAGCAGCUCCCUCCCAUGGUCCGCUGAGAUGAUGGGCGACACGCCGCCGCCUACCGCGCCCUCGACCUCCUCCUCCUCCUCCCCCUCUUCAGCGGCGGCGAGCUCUUAGAGUCGGGGCCCUCGCCGCUCGUCUUCCUACCCCUACCCCUGAUCCACGACGGCGGCAUGGACCUCUCCCGCUACGGCGAGAGGCUGCUCAGCUCCGUCCACUCCGCACGCUCCGUCCACUCCGCACGCUCCCUCGACCUCCCCGAACCCAGCCCCUUCCACCGCCAUCCCUUCGACUCCUCUCUUCUGCCGCAGAUCGACUCCAACCGCGUGCAGUGCUCGAAUCCCGCUGCCGCAUCUUGACUCCAACCGUGCGCUGCGGGGGGUAUUCUCCGCCAAAAUCGCGCCACCACCGCUACUGCCACAGAUGAAGGUUGGUUCGUUUAUUGGUGUUAGGUAAUAUUGAUGCAAGAUUUCUCCUCUACCAGUCGCAAUGGAUCCUGACGGCCAGAAAGAAGCACAUGAAGAAGUUACAGGCAAUGUCGAGGACCGGGAGGUGCAGCAUGGGACUGGUGAGGUUUGACGAGCACCUGAGCGCUAGAAAGUUUGAUGGGUCAGGGGGAGCACUAGGUUGGCAGCGACCUCCACAUUGAACCGUCACGGUCCAAAAUAGGCAGUGAAAAGGGACAAAGCACUGGUGGGUUCUGGGAGGGGCACCAAGUCACCGACGAGGUUGCCAUGGAACCACCGAGGUCCAAGAACAAAAGGAGGAAGAAGGAAAGCAUCAAUGUUAGAAGAUACUGAAGUUGCUGAAAUUCUAAAUGAGAUAUAAAGAAGAAUUGUUCGGGGAAAAGGUCCAAUAGUUAUGGACUUAUCUGGGUUUAUACAUAACAAGGAAGCGUAAGCUUGUUGUGCAUACAUUGCUCGAUAAAAUAAUGUACUUAUCAUAGGGUCUGCUAUAGAUGUUGAAAUCAAAGGCGUGGCCUCUAUUUGAUCAGUAGGGUUUGCUAUAAAACUGAGAAGAAGAUAAGGAGGAGUAUGGGUCUGCACGUACCUAUAAGAAGAAGAUGUCCUCAGAUUUGAGGAUUCUUGAGAUGAGAUAGAUUGCAGUACAUCCUAUCACCUCAUGGAGAAAAGGAGCCUAGAAAAGAACAUUCGACUUGAGCUGGAACGUGAGGUAUAUCCUUUUCAGUUUAAACAUUUCUUUUUGUUUGUUCCGUUAAUGAUAGUUCAAUUGUGAGAAGUGCUGCACUCGGCUCCCCUGACUAGUGAACUCCGCCGCUGAACGAUGCUCCUCAGCUACACUGCUCCUCCGGCUGAAGGUUUGCUCUUAGUUUUAGAUCUCCAUAAGUUAUUCUAGAAUCUAUUAUGCUCUUUUGCAUUGAAUUCAUGGGGUUGAAACUGUCAAUUGUGCCUAUGUUUAAUUCUAAAAUAUAUUUGCUCUGUCUAGAGAAGGUAGAAUGACAAGGUUAUUUAGAUGUUUGACACCAUCUGAGAUGCCCCUUGAUUAGUAAGGUGCGUCCGGAGCCAGAAGAACUUGAGAAAGGCAUCAUACAUUCCUUUUGCAAGACACUUACAACUUCGGAUACGAGUACCAAUGGACAUGUCUCAGAAUCCGCCAUCUCAAGAACUGGUAGCCAAAGAUCUCCAUGGAACUAAUUUGCAUUUUCAUCACAUAUUUCGUGGUGAUUUUACAAUUUAAGCAUUUAGCUUGAAUACCCUUUAAACUUUCCGUCGUUGUGUUUUUAUUGUUUUGGUAUAGCACUAAAUGUCACAAUUGAAUGUUGAAUUCUUACCACUGCAAAAACCUGCAGAAUAUGCUGAUUCAUUAUUUCUUAAGUAUGUGUGAACUGUAUCCCUA